AGCUUUGUGCAGUGACAUUACCGUAGCUGAUGAGGUCCAUCCGAGGCGCGGUUAUUGCUGAUUGAAAACUUUUCCCAAUACCCCGCGAGACGACUUGAAACAUAGUCGGCUUUGCAAUUUUUGUGGGCCCUGCUUAGGG
rnacentral:snRNA from 2 species